AGGGAAAAAAAAGCAAACGAUUUUUUUCAGUGAACACACUUUAGCUAAUAGACAAAGUGAGUGCGGGAGCUAGAUUAUGUCACUUUCACUUAGGAUCAAUUUUAUAUUGUAUAAAUUUCAUAAAAUCAGCUCACAUAAUGCUAGAUAUAUUAUGAUAGCUAAUAAAGUAUCCAACCCCCUUUCGUCAUUGGAAGCACUUAUAUUAAUUCUAGGCUUUGAAAGAUAAAUAGCCUGUAGCUUAGCCAGGAACAGUGGUGGCAGGGCCUAGCUGCUACAAAGAAGACAUGUUUUAGACAAUAUUCAUGUGUAUGGGCAAAAAACUCGAGGACUGUAUUUGUGACUAACUGUAUAACAGGUUAUUUUAGUUUCUGUUCUGUGGAAAGUGUAAAGCAUUCCAACAAAGGGUUUUAAUGUAGAUUUUUUUUUUUUUUUGCACCCAUGCUGUUGAUUGCUAAAUGUAAUAGUCUGAUCAUGACGCUGAAUAAAUGUGUCUUU
rnacentral:lncRNA from 1 species